UACGGGGGGAGCAAGCGUUGUUCGGAUUUACUGGGCGUAAAGGGCGCGUAGGCGGCGCAACAAGUCACUUGUGAAAUCUCCGGGCUUAACCCGGAGCGGCCAAGUGAUACUGUCGUGCUAGAGUGCGGAAGGGGCUACUGGAAUUCUCGGUGUAGCGGUGAAAUGCGUAGAUAUCGAGAGGAACACCUGCGGCGAAGGCGGGUAGCUGGGCCGACACUGACGCUGAGGCGCGAAAGCUAGGGUAGCAAACGGG
rnacentral:rRNA from 1 species